rnacentral:rRNA from 1 species
AGCGAACGCUGGCGGCAGGCCUAACACAUGCAAGUCGAACGAACCUUUCGGGGUUAGUGGCGGACGGGUGAGAAACACGUGGGAACGUGCCUUUAGGUUCGGAAUAACUCAGGGAAACUUGUGCUAAUACCGAAUGUGCCCUUCGGGGGAAAGAUUAAUCGCCUUUAGAGCGGCCCGCGUCUGAUUAGCUAGUUGGUUGAGGUAAUGGCUCACCAAGGCGACGAUCAGUAGCUGGUCUGAGAGGAUGAUCAGCCACAUUGGGACUGAGACACGGCCCAAACUCCUACGGGAGGCAGCAGUGGGGAAUCUUGCGCAAUGGGCGAAAGCCUGACGCAGCCAUGCCGCGUGAAUGAUGAAGGUCUUAGGAUUGUAAAAUUCUUUCACCGGGGACGAUAAUGACGGUACCCGGAGAAGAAGCCCCGGCUAACUUCGUG